rnacentral:rRNA from 1 species
AGAGUUUGAUCAUGGCUCAGGACGAACGCUGGCGGCGCGCCUAAUACAUGCAAGUCGAGCGAGAACCAGGGCUUGCCCUGGGGAAAGCGGCGAACGGGUGCGUAUCACGUGAGCAACCUGCCCCGAAGACCGGGAUAAGCCGAAGAAAUUUGGUCUAAUACCGGAUGCCCUCACCGGAUCGCAUGGUCCGGCGAGGAAAUGGAUUCCGCUUCGGGAUGGGCUCGCGGCCUAUCAGCUUGUUGGUGGGGUAACGGCCUACCAAGGCAACGACGGGUAGCUGGUCUGAGAGGACGAUCAGCCACACUGGGACUGAGACACGGCCCAGACUCCUACGGGAGGCAGCAGUAGGGAAUCUUGCGCAAUGGGCGAAAGCCUGACGCAGCGACGCCGCGUGCGGGAUGAAGGCCUUCGGGUCGUAAACCGCUUUCAGCAGGGACGAAAUUGACGGUACCUGCAGAAGAAGGCCCGGCCAACUACGUGCCAGCAGCCGCGGUGAUACGUAGGGGUCUAGCGUUGUCCGGAAUCAUUGGGCGUAAAGAGCUCGUAGGCGGUUCGGCAAGUCGGAUGUGAAAUCUCCACGCUCAACGUGGAGGGGCCAUUCGAAACUGCCGUGACUCGAGUCCGGUAGGGGAGUGCGGAAUUCCCGGUGUAGCGGUGAAAUGCGCAGAUAUCGGGAGGAACACCAGUGGCGAAGGCGGCACUCUGGGCCGGAACUGACGCUGAGGAGCGAAAGCGUGGGGAGCGAACAGGAUUAGAUACCCUAGUAGUCC